GACGAACGCUGGCGGCGUGCCUAAUACAUGCAAGUAGGACGCAGUUGCGAACGGGUGAGUAACGCGUAGGUAACUACCUAUUAGAGGGGGAUAACUAUUGGAAACGAUAGCUAAUACCGCAUACUAGUAGAUGGACCUGCGUUGUAUUAGCUAGUAGGUAGGGUAAUGGCCUACCUAGGCAACGAUACAUCGCCGACCUGAGGGGGUGAUCGGCCCAACUGGGACUUGGAAAUGGCCCAGAACCCCACGGGAGGCAGCAGUAGGGAAUCUUCGGCAAUGGGGGGAACCCUGACCGCACAACGCCGCGUGAGUGAAGAAGGUUUUCGGAGUGUAAAGGUCUGUUGUUAAGGGAGCGGUACUUAACCAGAAAGGGACGGCUAACUACGUGCCAGCAGCCGCGGUAAUAC
rnacentral:rRNA from 1 species